rnacentral:rRNA from 1 species
AGCAACUCUCAAGCAACCACAGGCCCAUACAUCUGCAUU